GGGGGAAGCUGGAAGUCUGGGGUCUGUCCUGGGGGCAGAGAACAUCCAUCUUGAGUGUGUGUGACUGGAAGGACGGGGCAGGGAGAGUCUGCACUUCCCAGCGUGGGCCAGCAGAGGGCGGCCGCUGACCGCCAGUGUCCAGGCUGAGCGGCGCUGCGCAGCUCCGCUCUCCCUCCUCUCCGAGCCGCCAGGCUGAAGGCCAGGGAGGAGGCCCACACCUGGAAAGGAAGCUUUGCUGCUCUGGCGGGCGCCUUUGCUCCGGGCUAGUCUCCUGGGCCUGGCCCAGCGUGCAUCCUGCAGUUCAGGGACCAGCUCCGCCCGACUGCCCGUGUGACCUUAGACAAGUCCCUUCCAGUCAAGGAACCUCGGGGACCCCCUCAUGGAAGAGGAGGGCCUGGACCGGGCAAAGGAAGGCCUCCCAGAGCUCUCGGGCCAUUCUCUGAGGGCCCCCCAGCUCUGAACGCCCCGUCCCGGGCCGGAUCCUCCUGUUCUCCCCCCCCCACCUCGGACAUCCCCAUUGUGAGCAUCUCCCCAGACCGGCCUCAGUGCCCUCCCUUCCGGCUGUGGGAGCUCUUCCACACCUAAAUCUGAGCUCACACGAUUCGCUCGCAGAGCCUGGGCCUCACUUCCCUUUUCUGAGUCUCCUCCAAAAGGGAAAUGACUCGCGCAUGGCUACCCAGAUGACAGCCAAUGGCAGAAUCAGGAUCUGAACCCAGACCCAGUUCUUUCUCACUGCCCCAUCUGUCCCCGGGGUUGGCUUCUAGCUCCCGGAAGCCGCAUCACCCCACUCCCUCCGAGGGAGGAAGCCCAAAGAGAAUUCAAUGGGGGGAGAGCUGGGAAGGGGAUGGAAAGAGGGAGGGGGCUGCCAGCGCGGGGACGCCGAGGGGGAAGCGAUCCCCUCGGAUGUGCCCGCCUGGGACAGAGGAACGCAGAAAGGCGGUGAGCGGCUGCAGGGAAAGGGGCUGCGGAGGACAGCAUGACAGAGCGCCGGCUGCCCGGGAGACAGUGCCCUGGACCAUGGACAGCUCUCCUUUCCUCCCCAGGCUCUGGUUAUUUUGUGAGUUCUCUGGACAUCUCUUCGCCUCUCCGGCCUUUCCCUCUGAUGACUUCUCCAAGCACUGGAUCCCACGAAUCUUUCCCCUUCUCACACUAUUUCUCGGUCUCCCUUCCUUCUCCAGAUUCCUCUCUGCUACCAGUCUUCAUCCGUCCAGGAUGCUCUCUCUGACAAUUUCCCCAGCUCAGGGGCUCUGCAGCUUUUCCAUUUCUAGAGCCAUUCCCAGGUCCUUGUUUCUCCAGCCUGCUCUUCGGACACCUCCCAAUCUCCUGGAGUCUGAGUCUCCCUCAGUAUCUGGAGGAAUCGACUUCUAUUCCACCCCAUCCCCAUAAUCUUGUGGGUUCCUUCCUCCCACCCACUUCCCCUGCUCUGAGUCCCUCAUCUCUCUUUAGUCUCCCCGAUCUAGUGUCUCUACUAUGGGUUUUUCUUCCCUUUAAUACUCUCCCCAGGCCCUAGGUCAGUCUCUGUCUGUCUCUGACUCCCCCCCCCCUUAUCGAUCUCAUUCCAAGCCAUAGAGGAGGGAAUGUUGUGCAGUGGGCAGAACCCUGCAUCUGGAACCAGAGUUAGAAGCCCCAUUUCUUCCCUUAAUGAGCUAUGAGACCUGAGACUUCAUCUUUCCUUUAUGAGCCUUAGUGCCUUGAGAGAGUGCUGGACUUGUCAUCAGGAAGCCCAGGGUUUUAGUCUUGUGUCAAAACACUAGCAGGCAACUUGGGGCAAAUCAUUUAACUGUCCCCCCACCCCCCUCCCAUCCAAUUUCAGUUUUAGUUUCUUCCUCUGUAAAAUGGAAUAAUAACGUAUCUGUAGCACUGAUCCCUGGCAUUUACUGGCUGGGUGGCCUGCCUCCCUCCCCCCAGACAGGUUGCUUAAUGUCCCAGGGCCCUGGGUACCUCUCUAAGGACAGAAGUUGCACAGAAUGCCACCUGGGAGUUUCCUCAUCUGAGAGUUCCUUAUACCAAUAAAGUCCCUAUCUCUAUCUCACAAAGUCCAUAGAUUUGAGGCUGCAAGGAACCCUGGAGGUCUUGACUGCCAGCCCCUUUACUUUAUUUAAAUAAUAAUGAAGCCAAGGCCUGUUGUGUUCAAGGUUACACAGGGAAGAAGUAGGAGAAUUGGCAAGGAGGAGGAGGAGGAGGAAGAGAAGGAAGAGGAAGAGGAGAAAGAAGAGGAGGAAGAAGAAGAGGAGUAAGAGGAAGAAGAGGAAGAGGAAGAAGAGGAAGAGGAGGAGGAAGAUGAAGAGGAGAAGGAGGAAGAGAAGGAGGUAGAUAAUGCCUGGGCUGUGAGGAAGGCACUUAUUCAUCACAAAGUAAUAAUAAGAAAUAAAUAAACUGUCAGCCUGGAGUAA